rnacentral:lncRNA from 1 species
AUGAUCAAAACAUACAGGAUAUGUAAUAUGGGCAUGGUGUAAAAGAGAGAAGAGUUCUAGAGAACAUAGAAAGUGAUCUGGACGAGAAUUAGAUAGAUUGUCAUAUCCUUUAUAUGUCCGUUGACCCGAGUCUCCAUCUACAUGUCCUGUAGUUAUGAGAAGCUUGUAAGUAGCUGCCAAAUCAAGGAGGCGUAUGCCCGCUCUGUUAACUUGAGAGCACCGAGAUUGCCUAUUAUGAGUAAGGUAAGGAUGUCGUGAGAGAAACUCAUAAUGUAUAUCAGAAAGUUCUUUUCUGUCGGCAAUAUGGGCAUUGAAAUCCCC